AUGGAAAGAAGGAAAGAUAUUCAAGGAAUAUUCUGGAGAUACAGAGAAAGUGUGGUGAGCUCAGCAGUAUCAGUGGCUGCGACCCGCACCACUUCGUUCAAGGGCACGAGCCCCAGAUCCAAGUACAUGAAGCUGAACGUGGGCGGAGCCCUGUACUACACCACCAUGCAGACACUGACCAAGCAGGACACUAGGCUGAAGGCCGUGUUCAGCAGGUGCAUAGAGAUGCUCACGGACAGUGAAGGCUGGAUCCUCAUUGACCAGUGUGGGAAGCUCUAUGGUACGAUACUCAAUUACCUUUGUGACGGGGCGGUCCCCUUGCCUGAGAGCCACCGGGAGAUUGAGGAGCUGCAGGAAGAAGCCAAGUACUACCUGGUCCAGGGCCUGGUGGAAGAGUUCCAGGCAGCCCUGCAAAACAAAGAUACUUAUGAGCCUUUCUGCAGAGUUCCUAUUAUCACCUCAUCCAAGGAAGAACAGAAACUUAUAGUGACUUCAAGUAAGCCAGCCGUGAAGUUGCCCUACAACAGAAGUAACAACAAAUACUCGUAUACCAGCAAUUCUGACGACAAUAUGUUGAAGAACAUCGAACUGUUUGAUAAACUGUCUCUGUGCUUUGAUGGAAGGGUCCUGUUCAUAAAGGAUGUCAUUGGGGAUGAAAUCUGCUGCUGGUCCUUCUACAGCCAGGGCCACAGGAUCGCUGAAGUCUGCUGUACCUCUAUCGUCUACACCACGGAGAAGAAACAGACCAAGGUGGAGUUCCCCGAAGCCCGGAUCUAUGAGACCCUGAAUAUUUUGCUUUAUGAGGCCCAGGAUGACCGGGGACCUGACAGCGCGCUUCUGGAGGCCACAGGUGGGGUGGCCGGUUGCUCCCACCACCUGGACGAGGAUGACGAGCGGGAGCGGAUCUACAUUCCCCAGAUCUGUUGAAGGGGCAGGCCUGUUGUCCCUUCAGCUGAUCUGUGGUCUGGUGUUUGUUGGGACCCCGCAGGGCCUGACCAAGGGCAAAGCUGCCCCUUCUGCUGCCCUCCUUGUUGACCCACUCCAUCCUGGGAAGGCUGCCUGGCCUGCUCACAGGCAUAGUGCACAAACCACUGCCCGGUGGGCUCCAUUCCUUCCUCCUCGGCCUUCUGCCCCGUUAAGCGGGGCUUACUGCCCCCAGCGGAUGCCCUGCCCUUUGCUUAGAAGAAAUUAAACACGGCCCCAGACUCUGUUCUGGCGUUCAGACAGGACCACCGCUCACACCAGCAGCCUCAGGAUGGCUCGCCUGCUGUCAAUGUAGCUGUCACCUGGAGAUCCCUUCCUGUCUCUGCCUCUGAUUCUUACACAGUGUGGAGCGGCCUUCAGCGAGUAGACCAAGAGGACAUGCAGAUCCCUUUGGGUCCAGUCAGUGUGUGUGUUCAUGUUAGUUUAAGGGACGCGUGCGACUGUGGAUGAGGAUGUGUGCCCGUGGGGCCUGGGUGGCCCGCACUGGAUCCCUGCUGUCUGCACGGCGCUUGUGUGGGACGGACGUUCUCGGUUACCUACCUCCCUGUCUCCUCUGUGUCCAUGACGCACAGGGGGAGUGGUGACGAAUGUGGGUGGUUGAGACUAGGCUGGUAGAGUAGUUCCAAGGAGAUUCGGUUGUGUGUUAAAGUAUGGAUGGGCUUUUUUUUUAAAUAUAAAUUUAUUUGUUCAUUUUUGGCUGU